rnacentral:lncRNA from 1 species
UUGUUUUUCAUUUUGGAUUGAAAUGAACUUUGGAUUUAAUUAGAGCUCAGAUGAAAAUGACUUAUCUUCUACUAGCUGUGGAAGUGAAGUUCUUCCAGUUUUAUUAUUUGUUUGGUAGAAAAUGAAUAUCGUAAAAACUGAAGUUUUCCACUUUUUAUAUUCGUUUCACCGAAAAGUGUUGUUCACAUGACUAGUAAACUUACAUCCUAUAUAUAGCUCUCGGCCGUGGAUAGUUUUUUUAGGCUGUCUAGUUCCUCGAAAAAGCGUGGAAAAAAACUUUCGAGAAAAAUUUUUUUCAUAGAAAAUCUCUAUUUCAGUUAAUUUUCUGUCGGUUUGGUUCUAAAAAAAAUGAAAAUAUUCUUUCCAAAUUUUAUCGAUAAACAAUAUUUUCUUUUCCUAAAAAAAAAAUCUGAAAAACGAAAAUAUUAAUUUGUCAUA